UACAGAGGUCUCAAGCGUUGUUCGGAUUCAUUGGGCGUAAAGGGCGCGUAGGCGGCGGGGUAAGUCGGGUGUGAAAUCUCAGAGCUCAACUCUGAAAUGGCACUUGAUACUGCCCUGCUAGAGGACUGGAGAGGAGAUUGGAAUUCACGGUGUAGCAGUGAAAUGCGUAGAUAUCGUGAGGAAGACCGGUGGCGAAGGCGGAUCUCUGGACAGUUCCUGACGCUGAGGCGCGAAGGCCAGGGGAGCAAACGGG
rnacentral:rRNA from 1 species